rnacentral:rRNA from 1 species
UACAGAGGGUGCAAGCGUUAAUCGGAGUUACUGGGCGUAAAGGGCGCGUAGGCGGAUAUUUAAGUUAAUUGUGAAAUCCCUGGGCUUAACCUAGGAAUUGCAGUUAAUACUGGAUGUCUAGAGUAUGGUAGAGGAAGGUGGAAUUUCCGGUGUAGCGGUGAAAUGCGUAGAUAUCGGAAAGAACAUCAGUGGCGAAGGCGGCCUUCUGGACCAAUACUGACGCUGAGGCGCGAAAGCGUGGGGAG